ACUCAAAUGAAUUGACGGGGGCCCGCACAAGCGGAGGAACAUGUGGUUUAAUUCGAUGAUACGCGAGGAACCUUACCCGGGCUUGAACGGCUUUUGAAUACAGUAGAGAUAUUGUAGCCAGUGAUGGCAGGAGUCGAGGUGCUGCAUGGUUGUCGUCAGCUCGUGCCGUGAGGUGUCGGCUUAAGUGCCAUAACGAGCGCAACCCUUGUUGUUAGUUGCCAUCGGGUAAAGCCGGGGACUCUAGCGAGACUGCCAGCGUAAGCUGUGAGGAGGGGGGGGAUGACGUCAAAUCAGCACGGCCCUUAUGUCCGGGGCGACACACGUGUUACAAUGGGAGGUACAGAGGGCUGCUACCUGGCAACGGGGUGCAAAUCUCGAAAGCCUUUCUCAGUUCGGAUUGGAGUCUGCAACUCGACUUCAUGAAGUUGGAUUCGCUAGUAAUCGCGCAUCAGCCAUGGCGCGGUGAAUACGUUCCCGGGCCUUGUACACACCGCCCGU
rnacentral:rRNA from 1 species